UACGGAGGGGACUAGCGUUGUUCGGAAUUACUGGGCGUAAAGCGCACGUAGGCGGAUUUAUUAGUCAGGGGUGAAAUCCCGAGGCUCAACCUCGGAACUGCCUUUGAUACUGCAAAUCUCGAGUCCGGAAGAGGUGAGUGGAAUUCCUAGUGUAGAGGUGAAAUUCGUAGAUAUUAGGAAGAACACCAGUGGCGAAGGCGGCUCACUGGUCCGGUACUGACGCUGAGGUGCGAAAGCGUGGGGAGCAAACAGG
rnacentral:rRNA from 1 species